rnacentral:tRNA from 1 species
GGUGGGUUGGCUCAGUGGUUAGAGCGUGGGUCUCGUAACCGACAGGUUGCGGGAUCGAAUCCCGCUAGAGGCUG